rnacentral:rRNA from 1 species
AUUGAACGCUGGCGGCAUGCCUUACACAUGCAAGUCGAACGGCAGCACGGGAGCAAUCCUGGUGGCGAGUGGCGAACGGGUGAGUAAAGUAUCGGAACGUGCCCAGUCGUGGGGGAUAACGUAGCGAAAGUUACGCUAAUACCGCAUACGAUCUAUGGAUGAAAGCGGGGGAUCGCAAGACCUCGCGCAAUUGGAGCGGCCGAUAUCAGAUUAGGUAGUUGGUGGGGUAAAGGCUCACCAAGCCGACGAUCUGUAGCUGGUCUGAGAGGACGACCAGCCAACCUGGGACUGGGACACGGCCCAGACUCCUACGGGAGGCAGCAGUGGGGAAUUUUGGACAAAGGGCGAAAGCCUGAUCCAGCCAUGCCGCGUGCAGGAUGAAGGCCUUCGGGUUGUAAACUGCUUUUGUACGGAACGAAAAGGUUUGGCCUAAUAAGCUGAGCUCAUGACGGUACCGUAAGAAUAAGCACCGGCUAACUACGUGCCAGCCGCCGCGGUAA